rnacentral:rRNA from 1 species
AGGGUUCGAUUCUGGCUCAGAACGAACGCUGGCGGCAGGCCUAACACAUGCAAGUCGAGCGAGACCUUCGGGUCUAGCGGCGGACGGGUUAGUAACGCGUGGGAACGUACCCUUUUCUACGGAAUAGCCUUUGGAAACGAAGAGUAAUACCGUAUACGCCCUUUGGGGGAAAGAUUUAUCGGAGAAGGAUCGGCCCGCGUUAGAUUAGAUAGUUGGUGGGGUAAUGGCCUACCAAGUCUACGAUCUAUAGCUGGUUUUAGAGGAUGAUCAGCAACACUGGGACUGAGACACGGCCCAGACUCCUACGGGAGGCAGCAGUGGGGAAUCUUAGACAAUGGGCGCAAGCCUGAUCUAGCCAUGCCGCGUGAGUGAAGAAGGCCUUAGGGUCGUAAAGCUCUUUCGCCAGGGAUGACAAUGACAGUACCUGGUAAAGAAACCCCGGCUAACUCCGUGCCAGCAGCCGCGGUAAUACGGAGGGGGUCAGCGUUGUUCGGAAUUACUGGGCGUAAAGCGCACGUAGGCGGAUUAGAAAGUUAGAGGUGAAAUCCCAGGGCUCAACCCUGGAACUGCCUUUAAAACUCCUAGUCUUGAGUUCGAGAGAGGUGAGUGGAAUUCCAAGUGUAGAGGUGAAAUUCGUAGAUAUUUGGAGGAACACCAGUGGCGAAGGCGGCUCACUGGCUCGAUACUGACGCUGAGGUGCGAAAGUGUGGGGAGCAAACAGGAUUAGAUACCCUGGUAGUCCACACCGUAAACGAUGAAUGCCAGUCGUCGGGUAGUAUACUAUUCGGUGACACACCUAACGGAUUAAGCAUUCCGCCUGGGGAGUACGGUCGCAAGAUUAAAACUCAAAGGAAUUGACGGAAUCA